GCGGCGGACGGGUGAGUAACACGUGGGCAACCUGCCUGUAAGACUGGGAUAACUCCGGGAAACCGGAGCUAAUACCGGAUAACAUUUUCUCUUGCAUAAGAGAAAAUUGAAAGAUGGUUUCGGCUAUCACUUACAGAUGGGCCCGCGGUGCAUUAGCUAGUUGGUGAGGUAACGGCUCACCAAGGCAACGAUGCAUAGCCGACCUGAGAGGGUGAUCGGCCACACUGGGACUGAGACACGGCCCAGACUCCUACGGGAGGCAGCAGUAGGGAAUCUUCCGCAAUGGACGAAAGUCUGACGGAGCAACGCCGCGUGAGUGAUGAAGGCUUUCGGGUCGUAAAACUCUGUUGUUAGGGAAGAACAAGUACAAGAGUAACUGCUUGUACCUUGACGGUACCUAACCAGAAAGCCACGGCUAACUACGUGCCAGCAGCCGCGGUAAUACGUAGGUGGCAAGCGUUAUCCGGAAUUAUUGGGCGUAAAGCGCGCGCAGGCGGUUUCUUAAGUCUGAUGUGAAAGCCCACGGCUCAACCGUGGAGGGUCAUUGGAAACUGGGGAACUUGAGUGCAGAAGAGAAAAGCGGAAUUCCACGUGUAGCGGU
rnacentral:rRNA from 1 species